GUGAUUGAUUUACUGAAUAAUGUAUGAGAAACACUUACCAUCAACCGGCCGAUAAUAGGGCCGCAUCGGUCAUCUUCCAUGCGUGACACGCGUCUCGCAGACUAUCCUUCAAUAAACUCGCUUUUGCAACAGGAGCUAUGCUUCCGAAACAUAUGCGGUGUUGCAAUACUUUACGACGGGUCUAUGUUUUACAACAAAACUUCUCUUGCAAAUUUUUCUGCAACAAGACCUCAGUUGUAAAAAUAUAAAAAAAACUGAUGCUGCAAAAAAAAAUCCGCAACAAGACCUAUGUUGCAAAAAUAAUUCCGCAACAAGACCUGCGUUGUAGAAAUAAAUUCUCGCAACAAGACCUGUGUUGCAGUAUGAAGACGCGUUCGUCCGUGUGAUGCGGUAAUCUGACGGCUCGCGGCCCGGCUGAUCUUUUAAAAAGAUCAACCGGCGGACGUGUAGCACACCACAUAAUGUAUGCAUGCAUAUCUCUGAACUGAAUAUUCUGUUUUGCUUUGUAGGUGGAAGUAUCUUGUGGCAACCUUGUUUCUGAAUAAAAUGCAUAGGUUAGAAAUAAACUGCUUUUUAAGAUCAUAGAGCAGGCAAUUGCACGUCUAACUUAUCGGCCAUAGUAGUACUUUUACUGUAUUUGCAACAACACAUUCUAACCAGAGCAACAGGUUCAGAGCCCUUCAUCAUGACAACUUCAAAACAAGCAAACACAUUGCAUAUAUUCUGUGAAGCCUAUGUGCAGAUGCAGGUUAGGCCAAUACACAAAUACACAAACCAAGAAUUAUAUUGAGCACUCAAUUCUUGGUAGGAUGGAAGUGAUACUGUGUUUGCUCUGUAAAUAAAUGAUAGGCCUGAACCAUGCUGUUCUCAAAACAGAGAGAAAGAAACUGCAGUCUUAGAAAGAAACUGCAAUGUUCUGUAGAGAUGCACGAUUUGUGACCCGUGCACUCCCUGUCAGUGCCUAGAUUAGUGUUGGAUGGCUGAAUAAGUUCACAUGCAAAUCUCUAAAAAUAAAAUAAAUAUACCUUACUUCUGAUAGCAAAGAACAGAUCUAGGGUUAAUGCAGUGCUGAUGGGAAGCGCCGCCACCACCUCGCCCACUAGUCUCUGCCAUCACCGGCCACUGUCACCAUGGCCGGCACCGGUGGCUCCUCGAGCCACAAGGAAAAGGUAAUACUCCCAUACCACUACCCGAAUCCCCAUGCCCACUGGAUCAACGGAUCCUAUCAAUGGUAUCAGCCCAGGUUGGCGUUAUGGAUUUUAGGUAGCAACAGAAAUCCUCCCUCCCCAAAGAACCCUAGAACAGGGCAAAGAAAAAUUCCUCUCCGGAGAAAGUAGCGCCGCCGUUAUGGCCGCGCCGUUCCUCUCGAUCCGGAAGGGCAUCGGCACGCCGAGCCGUCCGGAAGAAGAACCACCGGAGUUAGCCCAAGGGCUCGCCGGAAAAGGAGAAGGGGGGCACCGUAGCCAAACUGCUCGACGGCGGCGCGCUCACCGCGAGGUAGACGCGCAGCCGGCGAGGGGGAAGGCCACGGUGCCCCGUCGAAACCUCCGCCGUAGUCGUCGUCCAGAUCGAAAAAGAGGAGGCGUUGGUGGUGGAGACACAGAGGAGAGGACAUGAGGAAAUGGGGGGAGGAGAGGGUGGCGCGCAGCGCGGUGUCUUCGGGUCGUCGUCGCGGGCGGCCAGACUUAGCUCGUCGGUGGCCUCUGCCCCCGGCCGCGGAGACAGAUCGGAGGACGGCCUGCCCUCUCUGCAAUAGGAAAGAGAAGGGGAACAUGAGGAAAGAGAAGCGGCCAGGCUCGCGCGGUGGUGGACGCCAUCGCCGGCGGCUCGACCGGACCGGCGUGGCGCGGUCGCCCGGCGACCGGGAAAGCGUCGGGUCGAGAGAGGAUGAACGGCGCGAGAGAAAAGAAUGGGGGCGCUAGGUUUCGGUUCUGGGACUCUUUCCUGUUUUUGUUCGAGCGAGAACGACGAUCCACCUUCCGACCGCGUUGAACGGUUUGGAUUAAAACCCUAGCCUCCCCACUGGCCUUUUGGGCCGAAAGUGAUCGUGGGCUAGGCCGAGGAAGGCCGGCUCGCGCGGCCUGGCGCGGGAAGCAGGCCAUGGGCCGCUUCCUCCGCUGAGGGCCUUGAGCGCUGGGCCUGGCCGCAGCUGCGUGCUGCGCCGUGGCCGUAGCAGCGCGCUGGACCGAGGCCAGCAGCCUUGCGCGCUGGACCAAGGCAGGGCCAGUUCAUUUUGUACAGUUUCCUUUUUCUACUCAAAAAAAUUUCCAACGAAAAUUCUCUUUAGAAAAUAUAUAAAAGAAAAAAGUAGAACAGUUUCUAAAAAUGAAAAUAAAAAAAUUUCAGAAAAAUAAACGUUCAUGAAUUUAGUUGGCAAGAAGAAAAGUUUAUGUAAACAAUAAAAGUGCACUUUUAAAAGAAAAGAAAAUUUUUCUGUAAAGAAUAAUAGGUUCAUGAAUUUUCUAUUCAUGUUUUUUCCGCUGCAAAUAAAAAUAAAAGUGCUCCUUUAAAAGUGAAUAGAACUAAAAUAGAAGAUGAAAUUGUUGCUUCUCUAAUGCUUUUUUGAACCAAUUGGUUAAAAUUACUUAGAGAGUAAAAGAGUACAUAAUUGUUUCUGCAUAGAAUAUUAAAAGUUUCUGCUGCAAAGAAAAAGUUUUAUCCUCCAAUUAAAUUGGAACCAAGGGGAAAAUUUAAUUGGAAAAACUGUUCUUAGCAAUGUUUUCCCUUGUGGGUGAAAUCAGAUUCAGAUAGCUUCCGCUAUGACAAAAGAAAGAUAUUUGUUUUAAAGUUAAAAUAUGGUAUUGUUAUUUUCUAACCAACGUUGAUGAUAAUAGUACUAUAAUUCUAUGAGUCUUAUGUUCAAUGCUUAAAUCUCUGAUAAAUUUUGUAUCAAAGUGAUCAAUUUUCAGAGAACAGUUAAAGAUAAAGAAAUGCUCUUGAACUAGAGAAAUGUAUAUUUCUUGUUUCCGCUGCAAUAAAGUUGAUGAUGAUUAUUAUUUCUGAGCAAAGUUGUUUAAUAGAAAUACUAUCAUCACAUUGUUUAUGAGUUAUAUGCAUUAUUUCCAUUUCCGCCCAAUGAUGAUAUGGAAUUAAUGUAGAAGAAUGAGUUUUAUUCUAAUUCUACCACAACGGUGAUUUAGAGUAUAAAAAGGAAGUUUUGCAAAAGUUUAAUGUGCAUAUUUUUUAACCAGACCAACAUAGGGUGUAGCGACCAGACCUCAAACAGUCUGAUCUCUGUGCUUCGGUGUCAUCCCUGGAUCAUUAAUGCUAACACCACACAGUACUCGGAGGAUUUAUAACAGAGUAGCAAUCACACACUUAUUACAUCGAGUGUCUCCAUAGAGAACUUAUUACAAUAAAUAUGGCUUAAGGCCAUCUAUAACGAUAACAGCGGAAGGCUUAGAAGAUAAGUGAGUGCAUCAACUCCAACGACAUCACUGAGUAUAGAAUCACGACUUAAAAACUCGUUAAUCGUCGUCUGAAAAGUCUGCAACAUUAACGUUGCAGCCCUAAACGGGUCGGCACAUGAAAUAUGCUGGCAAGGUAACACAUAGAGAAUAAUGGAAUGAAAUAGCUAUACUAUAUGCCUAUUUGGCUGGUGGAAAGCUCUAUGGUUACAGUUUUGCGAAAAGCCAAUUUUUCCCUACUAUAAAGGAAUAAAUUUAAUUACUAUCAUGGUGGUUGUUAAACAUUGAGAAUGGUUGACAGCAUUCUCAAUCCCAAUUAAGCAUCAUCAUUAAACAAAGCCCAACAAUUAAUUUAGGAUAACAUGUUGAGAUUCACAUGAAAAUCCAGGUACUAGAUGCUCAAGAUGUCCAUAACCGGGGACACGGCUAACCAUGAUUAGUUUAUUACACUCUGCAGAGGUUUGCGCACUUUUCCCCACAAGACUCGAUCGCUUCCGUUUGGUUUCUCGCACUACAUGGUAUUUGAGAAGACGGAUGACCGAGACAUAGUAUUUCAGAAGCGCUAGCACCUUACGAUCGGGUAGACCGUACCACCUACAUCCCCUACAUCUGCUAGUCUACCACUGUAAGAGUUCGCACUACUUAGUCAACUAUGCUAGAGCCCAUAAUAGCUUGUGGCUGCACAUGGAAGUUUCUAGUAUGAAUAGUCUCAUGAUCCCUUUGAGCCUGGGUGGCGGUCCAAAAGAAAACAAGCAAGUCCUGGAAUACCCAGGUGCCUCAAUCCACCCAGAUGUGUGUUUAAGUUGCCACCUUAGAUAAACCAUUAAUUAACAAUCUCACAUCUAUCAUGGAUAUCACUCACCCAAUCCACGUCUACUAGCAUAGCAUGGCAUAAUAAGCAAACGUAGAAGUAACUCCCAAAAGUUUGAUAAUAAAUAGGUAAUAGGUACUACCUCAACUACUUCCCACCCCACAAUUUAAUUAGAUCCUAAUCAUGCAAUGUGUGAGGAUGGAUCUAAUGCAAUAAAACUGGGUAGUAGGAAAGGUAUGAUCAAAGUGUUAUUUGCCUUGCUGAUGAUCCGGGAAACCUAGCGAUUCGAAGUAACAAGCGGCGCACUCCGGGUACUCUAUCGCAAACAAACAAACAAGCAUACAAUAAGUACUCAUCUAAUGCAUGGGUAAAACUAAAAUAAGAGAUCUAACCAGAAGGUUCAACUUAAGAACUCCGGUUUGCAAAAAGAGUCAAAUCGAACGGAGCAACGAAAGUCAAACGGCGAAAGAAAACAACUUCGUUCUACUAAUCUGGAUCUAGGGCAAACUUUACAGUAGCAAAACUUGUUUAAGUUGAUUAAACGGAUAGUGGGUUUCGAGACAAAACUCCAGGCGCUUGAAUCGCCUGAUUCCGAUAAACGAGCGAAAAGUUAUACUAUAAGAAAAUCGGAUCAGGAAUCGCGAUCAAAAAAAUCGCGGAUUAAAUUCGAGAAAAGAAAAACGACGAACGUUCGCUAGAACGAACAAAUGAACGCUCGCUAUUUAAAUAAACCGAAAAGAAACCGAUCUAUUUAAAAAAAACCAAAACAAAAAAACAGACGAAAAACCGAAAGGUUUUUUGAAAAAAAAUAAAAAAAAACGGCGCGGAAAACUAGGCGGCGGCGGACCUCGGGCGGCGUGCGGCGGCGGCGGGCGCUGGGGCGGCGGGAGGCGCUGGGGGCGGCUAGGGUUUGGUUGGGGCUGGGCCUCUCGCCCCCCGGCUUAUAUAUCCUAACGGGCCGGGAGUCCUAGUCGGACACGACCAUAGGUCGGUUCGUUUUUUUUAUAUAUUACGCGCAGAAGAAAAAAAAUAAAAAGAAAUACUAAACGGACUCUAAAAAUUCCAAAAUAAAUUUUUACGGGCUUCUAAAAUCAAGCCGCACAAGGUGAACAUUUAUUUGGGGCCUAAAUACAAUUUUGAAAAAUGCACAUUUUUCCUAAAUUCAAAUAAAAUAACAAAAAACUUCGAAAUAAAAUCUUAUUUGAUUUUAUUAUUAAAUCCUCAAUAUUUAUUUAUUUUGGGAAAGUCAUUUUAUUCCCUCUCUCAUAUUUUUGUAAUAGAAAUAAUUGAUGAUAAAAUAAAUAAAAUCAAAUGAUCCUAUUCUCAAAAUUUGAGAAAACUCAAAUAUGAAAAUAAUGAAAUCCCCAACUCUCUCCGUGGGUCCUUGAUUUGCGUAGAAUUUCUAGGAUCAACCAAAAUGCAAAAUAAAAUAUGAUAUGCAUAGAUGAUCUAAUGUAUAACAUUCCAAAUUGAAAAUUUGGGAUGUUACAAACCUACCCCCCUUAAGAUGAAUCUCGCCCACGAGAUUCGGGUUGGCUAGAAAAUAGGUGAGGGUGGUCCUUGAGCAAAUCUUCCUCUCGCUCCCAGGUGGCUUCAUCCUCCGUGUGGUUGCUUCACUGAAUUUUGCAAAACUUGAUAACCUUGCUGCGAGUGACUCGGCUAGCAAACUCGAGGAUCUUAAUUGGUUUCUCCUCGUAGGUCAAAUCGUUAUCCAACUGAAUUGUUUCCAACGGCACUGUGUCUCUCAAGGGUAUGUCAGCCAUCUCAGCGUGACACUUCUUCAACUGGGAAACGUGGAACACAUCAUGAACUCCUGACAAUCCUUCAGGCAAUUCCAACCUGUAGGCCACUUCUCCCAUACGCUCCAAAACUCGAUAUGGUCCUACAAAUCGUGGCGCUAACUUUCCCUUAACUCCAAAAUGCUUUGUUCCCCGAAGUGGAGAUACUCGAAGAUAAGCUCUAUCUCCAACUUCGUAAACUGUCUCCUUCCAUUUCGAAUCUGCAUAACUCUUCUGUCUGGACUGGGCUAUCUUGAGCCUGUCGCGAAUCAACUUUACCUUCUGUUCAGACUCUUUAAUCAAGUCAGGUCCAAACAACUGGCGAUCUCCAACUUCGUCCCACGACAACGGUGUCCUGCACCUCCUUCCAUACAAAGCUUCGAAAGGGGCCAUCUUUAAACUGGUUUGAUAACUGUUGUUGUAAGAGAACUCUGCAUAUGGGAAAUUGUCGUCCCAACUAGAUCCAUAAUCUAGCGCACAAGCUCUCAGCAUAUCCUCCAAAAUCUGAUUGACUCUCUCGGUCUGUCCAUCUGUCUGUGGAUGAAAAGUUGUACUGAAUUCUAGCCUGGUACCCAAAGUUUCAUGCAACUGCUUCCAGAACUUUGAGGUAAAUUGGGUUCCUCUGUCUGAUACGAUACUCCUCGGAACUCCAUGCAAACAUACGAUCCUGGUCAUGUAUAUUUUUGCCAACAUAGUACUGGUGUAAGUGGUCUUUACCGGGAUGAAAUGAGCUACUUUCGUCAACCGAUCGACUAUAACCCAAAUCGAGUCAUAGCCUGAACGAGUCCUGGGUAAUCCUAUGAUAAAAUCCAUGCCUAACUUAUCCCACUUCCAUUCGGGUAUCGGUAAUGGUUGUAACAAUCCUGCUGGCUUCUGAUGCUCUGCCUUUACUCUCUGACAUACAUCACAGACUGCUACAUACUCCGCAAUAUCCUUCUUCAUUCCGGUCCACCAGAAAAUAUCCUUAAAAUCCAAAUACAUCUUGGUAUUUCCUGGGUGAAUCGAAUAUGGUGAAUAGUGUGCCUCUUGCAGAAUCAACUUCCUAAUCUCCGGGUCAUUGGGCACAUAAACACGGUCUUCAAACCAUAGGGUGUCGUGCUCAUCCUCACGAAAUCCUUUAGCCUUUCAUUUGCUCAGUUUCUCCUUAAGAGAGGCAAUCUCCUUGUCAGUCUUCUGAGCUUCUCUGAUUCUAUCCAUCAAGGUUGACUGAAUCUCCAAUGCUGCUACAUAGCCUCUAGGAACUAUUUCCACACAUAGUUCAUGAAGAUUUUCUUCUAACUCCCUUGGUAUUCCUCCCGUCAUUAAUGUAUUGACGUGGCUCUUACGGCUUAAUGCGUCAGCUACUACAUUAGCCUUUUCGGGAUGAUAAUGCAAUCUCAUAUCAUAAUCCUUGAUGAGCUCCAACCAUCUCCUCUGUCCGAGGUUUAACUCCUUCUGCGUGAAAAUGUAUUUCAAACUCUUAUGAUCCGUGUACACCUCACAAUGAUUUCCAAUGAGGAAAUGUCUCCAUGUUUUCAAUGCAUGCACUACAGCUGCUAACUCUAAAUCAUGCGUAGCAUAAUUCAACUCAUGAGGUUUCAGUUGUCUUGAGACAUAUGAAACAACUCUCCCUUCCUGCAUAAGCACUGCUCCAAGUCCUCGACGUGAAGCGUUGCAAUACACCUCAUAAUCCUUGGUCUGGUCUGGCAAAAUCAACACUGGUGAAGUAACCAAACGUUUCUUCAACUCCUGGAAACUAGCCUCACAUUCCUCCGUCCAUAUGAACUUGGUAUCUUUCUUCAACAACUCCAUGAUAGGCUUCGCAAUCUUUGAGAAAUUCUCAAUAAAUCUCCGGUAGUAUCCCGCGAGUCCCAGAAAACUCCGUAUCUCUCCAACCAUGGUCGGUGCUUCCUAUUUGGUCACGAUAUCAACUUUAGCGGGAUCUACUGCUAUUCCUUCUCCGGAUAUAACGUGUCCGAGGAAUCCUACUUCCUUCAACCAAAACUCACAUUUUCUAAACUUGGCAUAUAAUUGAUGUUCUCUGAGCUUUCCAAGUACCAAACGCAAAUGCUCCUUAUGCUCCUCUUCAUUCUUCGAGUAAACCAUGAUAUCAUCAAUGAACACCACGACGAACUUAUCCAAAAACUCCAUAAACACUUUGUUCAUCAUGUUCAUAAAAUAUGCAGGUCCGUUAGUCAGACCAAAUGACAUAACGGUAUACUCGUACAACCCAUACCUGGUGGUAAAAGCUGUCUUAGGAAUAUCAUGUUCUCGAAUCUUCAAUUGGUGGUACCCUGAUCACAAAUCGAUCUUGGAAAAUACCUUAGCUCCUUGCAAUUGAUCAAACAGAUCAUUGAUCAUUGGUAGUGGGUACUUGUUCUUGAUUGUUACUUCAUUCAAUCCUCGAUAAUCAACAACCAUCCUUAACGAUCCAUCCUUCUUCUCCACUAGAAGUACUGGCGAUCCCCAAGGCGAAGAACUUGGGCGAAUAUAUCCUUUAUCCAGUAACUCCUUAAUCUGCUUCUUAAUUUCCACCAAAUCCUUUGCUGGCAUCCUAUAUGGUCUCUUUGAUAUUGGCCCUGUGCCUGGCAAUAGCUCAAUCAAAAACUCAAUAUCUCUAUCCAGUGGCAUGCCUGGCAACUCUUCUGGAAAUACUUCAGGGAAAUCCCUUACCACUGGUACUUCCUCCUGCACAGCUCCUGUUAAGCAAUUUACUGGUGUCCUCUUUGGCACAUGUCGGGAUACAUACUUGAUCCUUCUCCCUUCUGGUGUGGUAAGCAAAAUUGACUUACUAGCACAUUCAAUAUUCCCUUCAUACUUUGAUAACCAAUCCAUGCCUAAUAUCACAUCCAAUCCUUGGGAUUCCAAUACUAUUAGGUCUGAGGGAAAAACAUAGUUACCAAUCCUUAAUGGUAACUGAUCACACCAUCGACUAGCCAUAUACUCUGCUCCAGGCGAGGUUACUAACAUGGGUGACCUAAGGGCUUGGGUUGACAGUUUAUACUUAUCCACAAAUCCCCUUGAGAUGUAUGAAUGCAAUGCGCCAGUAUCAAAAAGAACGAGUGCAGUAAAUGACUUAACCAAAAACUUACCUAUUACUGCAUCAUGCUGAGCUUCAACCUCCUCCACAUUAACGUGGUUCACCUGUCCCCUGUUGAAAGGGUCCGGCUUCUUCCCAGAGCUUCCAUUGCCAUUUCCAUUUUGUAAUUCAGGACAUUCAUUGGCAUAAUGUCCGGUCUUCGAACACUUAAAGCAAGUGACUUGGCUCAGGUCUUUCUUGGCUGGGGUUGAUGGGUUGGUGCGAUUCUGGCCGUUGCUUCCUCCAUUACCAUUACCAUUCCUGGUGCCAUUGUGAUUGUGUGAGCUACCUCCUCCAUGGGUAUGCUGAAAAUGUCCUCCCGGUCUAGGGGUAAAACGUGGCUUCUGCUGAGCUCCUGAAUUGUAUUUCCCUUGUCCAUACUUCCUCUUGUGGUUCUUAAUUUGCUACUGCUUGCCUUCAAUCAUAAGAGCAUGAUCUACCAACUCCUGAUAGUUGUUGAAGGUUGCUACCAUCAACUGCAUGCUCAACUCAUCAUUCAGUCCUUCUAGAAACUUCUCCUGCUUUGCUGCAUCCGUAGCAACAUCAUCUGGGGCAUAACGUGCUAACUUACUACGGUCCUCCACAUACUGGCCAACUGUCCGUCCUCCUUGGUGCAAGUUGCGGAACUCACGCUUCUUCAUGGCCAUAGCUCCUGCUGAAACAUGGGCAGUACGAAAGGCCUGUUGAAACUGGUCCCAUGUGACAGUGUCGACAGGGAAAGUGGCUGUGAAAUUCUCCCACCAUGAUGCUGCGGGUCCUUCAAGCUGAUGUGCGGCAAACUUCACCUUCUCUGCAUCCGUGCAUCCUACUGUGGUCAACUCUCUAGCUGUCUUGCGGAGCCAAUCAUCUGCUACUAUCGGCUCGGUGCUACUGGAAAACACCGGUGGAUUCAGCCUAAGAAAACGCGCUAAGUGAUCAACAGGUGGUGGUGGUGGUGGGUUGUUGUUGUUGUUCCCCUGAUUCUGAUUCUGGACUAGCAACUGCAUCAAUGUGUUCUACUGCUGGAUCAACUAUGUGAGCUCUGGUGGAAAGGAAAAUCCGGGGUCAUGUCUCGGAGGCAUCUGAGGGUUUAGAAAAGAUGAGAUGUAAGAAUAGAGGGGUCUAAAGAGAAAACACUACCCAUAUGCACAUGAGGCAAAAGCAAACAAUUCACUUCAUUCAAUCAAACAAGGGCAUACAAUCGAUGUAACUAUCGCAAAAGUGCUCGGACUACUAUAUUUACAUGGUGGACUACUACUACUGAUGAGGUGGUCUACUAGAAAUAUUCUUCAGUUGCAGACUCCAUGAUAUCUGCUCCAGCUUCGUCAACAUAAUCAUCAUCGCUAUCGUCUGGAUUCGAAUUCUGUGUCGUCGAUGAUGAUGUAGUCUUCCGGGCGAAUCUCCUUGGGUUCUUCAUCUUCAUCUACUGGUGUAGGGCCUCCCAUAAAUAUCCCGAUCUUCUUUGUUAGGUCGGCAUUCUUAUCCACUAAUACUUCAAUUUCCUCUUCAUAAUUUUCACGUGUAGCCUUGAGUUCUUCCUCCAGUUCCUUGAUUAUUGUCUUAGCCUUCUUCAGAUCUAUCAUGUCGGCGCACAUCUGGUUUUCCUGUCGUCGAAUGUGAUGGUUUAAGUCCUGGAUAAAAGCAGCAAUUGAUCUAUCCUUCCGGGUGCUGAUCAUCUCCCAGUGCUCAUCUCGGCGUCCACAAAUCUGGUAGAUAGUAUCCUUGAGAUCAUUGUGGUAGACUUCUCCAAUGUGUCCCAUGGCGAUGUGAGCUGCCAUGCUCUUUCCUAGACUCCAAGUUGGUGCAUCAAAAGAAAACUCUAUGGGCUCAGUGACUGGCAUGAACGUCCUUCCUGAAACUUGAACUUGAAUCAUCCAGCGCUCUUCUUCAGGUAAAGUGGCGUUGUAGGUUCCGGUGAAGCUUGGUACUCCUAUGUUCAGGUAUCUAGUGACUUCCUUCAAGUGUCGUCCAAAGGGUGUAUCUUCAUUCGGUUGCGUGAACUUGUUCCUUGCAUCCGCCAUCCUAAAAGAGUAAAAAAGAUGAGGAGUCAGAAGACAAGAGGGUGAAUAGUGUUCUAGAUCUUUAGCUUAAUGGUCGUGUCCUACAGUCAGCGUGUGCUCUGAUACCAUCUCUAUAGCAACCACACCUCAAACAGUCUGAUCUCUGUGCUCUGGUGUCAUCCCUGGAUCAGUAAUGCUGACACCACACAGUACGCGGAGGAUUUAUAACAGAGUAGCAAUCACACACUUAUUACAUCGAGUGUCUCCAUAGAGAACUUAUUACAAUAAAUAUGGCUUAAGGCCAUCUAUAACGAUAACAGCGGAAGGCUUGGAAGAUAAGUGAGUCCAUCAACUCCAACGGCAUCACUGAGUAUAGAACCACGACCUAAAAACUCCUUAAUCGUCGUUUGAAAAGUCUGCAACAUUAACGUUGCAGCGCGAAACGGGUCAGCACAUGGAAUAUGCUGGCAAGAUAACACAUAGAGAAUAAUGGAAUGAAACAGCUAUACUAUAUGCAUAUUUGGCUGGUGGAAAGCUCUAUGGUUACAGUUUUGCGAAAAGCCAAUUUUUCCCUACUACAAAGGAAUAAAUUUAAUUACUAUCAUGGUGGUUGUUAAACAUUGAGAAUGGUUGACAGCAUUCUCAAUCCCAAUUAAGCAUCAUCAUUAAACAAAGCCCAACAAAAUUAAUUUAGGGUAACAUGUUGAGAUUCACAUGAAAAUCCAGGUACUAGAUACUCAAGAUGUCCAUAACCGGGGACACGGCUAACCAUGAUUAGUUUAUUACACUCUGCAGAGGUUUGCGCACUUUUCCCCACAAGACUCGAUCGCCUCCGUUUGGUUUCUCGCACUACAUGGUGUUUGAGAAGACGGAUGACCGAGACAUAGUCUUUCAGAAGCGCUAGCACCUUACGAUCGGGUAGACCAUACCACCUACAUCCCCUACAUCUGCUAGUCUACCACUGUAAGAGUUCGCAUGACUUAGUCAACUAUGCUAGAGCCCAUAAUAGCUUGUGGCUGCACACGGAACUUUCUAGUAUGAAUAGUCUCAUGAUCCCUUUGAGCCUGGGUGGCGGUCCAAAAGAAAACAGGCAGUCCAAAAGAAAACAGGCAAGUCCUGGAAUACCCAGGUGCCUCAGUCCACCCAGAUGUGUGUUUAAGUUGCCACCUUAGAUAAACCAUUAAUUAACAAUCUCACAUCUGUCAUGGAUAUCACUCACCCAAUCCACGUCUACUAGCAUAGCAUGGCAUAAUAAGCAAACGUAGAAGUAACUCCCAAAGGUUUGAUAAUAAACAGGUAAUAGGUACUACCUCAACUACUUCCCACCCCACAAUUUAAUUAGAUCCUAAUCAUGCAAUGUGUGAGGAUGGAUCUAAUGCAAUAAAACUGGGUAGUAGGAAAGGUAUGAUCAAAAUUUUACAGUAGCAAAAACUUGUUUAAGUUGAUUAAACGGAUAGAGGGUUUCGAGACGAAACUCCAGGUGCUUGAAUCGCCUGAUUCCGACAAACGAGCGAAAAGUUAUACUAAAAAAAAUCGGAUCAGGAAUCACGAUAAGAAAAAUCGUGGAUUAAAUCCGAGAAAAGAAAAAUGACGAACGUUCGCUAGAACGAACGAACGGACGAACGCUCGCUAUUUAAAUAAACCGAAAAAACCGAUCUAUUUAAAAAAAACUGAAACAAAAAAAACCGACGAAAAAACCAAACGGUUUUUCGAAAAAAACAAAAAACAACCGGCACAGAAAACGAGGCGGCGACGGACCUCGGGCGUCGUGCGGCGGCGGCGGGCGCUGGGGCGGCGGGCGGCGCUGGGGGCGGCUAGGGUUUGGCUGGGGCUGGGCCUCUCCCCCCCGGCUUAUAUAUCCUAACGGGCCGGGAGUCCUAGUCGGACACGAUCCUAGGUCGGUUCGUUUUUUUAUAUAUUACGCGCGGAAGAAAAAAAUAAAAAGAAAUACUAAACAGACUCCAAAAAUUCCGAAAUAAAUUUUUAGGGGCUUCUAAAAUCAAGCCGCACAAGGUGAACAUUUAUUUAGGGCCUAAAUGCAAGUUUGAAAAACGCACAUUUUUCCUAAAUUCAAAUAAAAUAACGAAAAACCGAAAUAAAAUCUUAUUUGAUUUUAUUAUUAAAUCCUCAAUAUUUCUUUAUUUUGGGAAAGUCAUUUUAUUUGCUCUCUCAUAUUUUUGUAAUAGAAGUAAUUGAUGAUAAAAUAAAUAAAAUCAAAUGAUCUUAUUCUCAAAAUUUGAGAAAACUCAAAUACGAAAAUAAUGAAAUCCCCAACUCUCUCCGUGGGUCUUUGAGUUGCGUAGAAUUUCUAGGAUCAACCAAAAUGCAAAAUAAAAUAUGAUAUGCAUAGAUGAUCUAAUGUAUAACAUUCCAAAUUGAAAAUUUGGGAUGUUACAUAGGGUUAUUUUUAUGCUCAUUAUUGUUGAUUAUUAGCUAAGUUCUCUCAAACUAAAAGUUUUCCAUGCUUUCAUUCAUGAAAGCGAAUGGUUGGGUACUUGUGACCCAAAAGAUGAUCAAGAAAGGUCAUAACGUGAGAUAGUAUGUUCUCUCUAAAGAAUGGUUUCAAAAGAAAAGAGAUUGAUCAUUGAGAGUCUUGGUUGACGAAUGUCUUUCAUGUACUCUCUAUGAUUUCAGAUAAAACAAGCAACAUGCGUGUUUAAUUUGACCAACGUCGGAUCAAGCAUGUGUGUCAAAGAGCAUUAGGAUUUAUUCCUAAAUUUGAUGAUUGAAUAAUGCAGUCAAAAGAGCCAAUUCUGGCAUUUAUGUCCCUUACAAGGAAUUACCCGCAUGGCGGAAAAAGAUGAUUAUGAUAAAACCCGCAUGGCAGGAAAAGUCUGGGAAAAUACGUGUGUAACGGGGUAAACUUGACAUAAUAUUAUGUCAAAAUCUCUUAUGGAGGGAGAAAUUCUGGCAAAGGACUUAUCCUGUAUGAUAGGAGAAAGAUAUGAUGACUCAUGUGCUUUUAAUGUGUCCCACUCUGGGAGAAAAGUAUGGAGUAGCUAUUAUGCUUUCCUAGUAUCGACUGUACACCUUGUGUGAACGGUCAUUAACCACUCAAUAAAUCCAAAGAGAAUAAAAGUGAGAGACGAACCUAAAGAUAAGAUUGAUAUGCAAGUGUGACUUGCAAAAGUACUAAUAAUAAAGAACUUUGUUGAGUUUCUAAAAUGGAAUGAGGAAAAAGUACUCCCAUAUCAGUUAACAGAUAACUUCAUUUCGCAUGAAGUAAUCAGAUGAAUGAAAUAUAUUGAAGUUUCCUCAAUUCACAAAAGUUAUGAAUGGUUUUCGAAAUUGUGGCAGAAAGAAAUAUUAGAUAAAUUAAGAAUGAUGAAACUCCCCUAUACUUUAGAUGAUGUGAUGCACAUUAUGCAUCUAAAGUGAUCCAUUAAUGAAGAAUGUGAUCGUCUGGGGGAGUACGACGGUCGGAAUAAUACCCCUAAAGAACAGAAAUAGUUGUAUUCCUAGAUCUUUUAUAGUUUCGACAGCAGACUAAGGAAUACUAAGGCGGUGCUUAAAAGUGCUAUAAAGAAGAAAGUUUUAACAGAAUAAACCCAAAUAAUAAAGUUUAAAGAUACCCCAUUUUAGUGAAGAUGGAGUAAUCUGGGGGAGCAUGGUAUGAAAAUACCAAAGACUAUAGAAUAAAUUUGCCUCUUGGCAAUGACAGAGCAACAACAGCCACAUAUGAAAGAAGUGCCAGUACCUGAGACACAGAUGGUCUCAAGGAAUGAGAAAAUCUGAUACUUCUGAUUACUAUAAAGUCUAUGUUAGCGAAAUUCAAAUGGAGAUUGAGUCCACCUCAUUUAAAGUGCUCAAUCGAGCUUUGAGAAGUGUAUGUUUGUCUAAAUGAUAAGAGACUAUAUGAGAUGAAAUAAAAUUGGUGAAUCCCAAUGAUGUUUGGGACUCAUAAGUAAUUUCCAAUGGUGCAUAAACAGUAGGCUAUAAAAGGUCUACAAGGUCAAUGUGUUUCCAAAGGAAAGAUUUUGUGCAAAGAGAAUGAAUAGAUUACAAUGAGUGUUAGUGGCACAUCAUGAUCGACAUCAUGAUCUGAGUUACAUCAGAUGAAACUAAAGAACACAAGGGAUACUACUUCAAGAAGUUUUUAUGGACUAGAGCAAGUCUCUAGACAGUGGCAUUUAAAGUUAAAAGAAUGAGAUGUUAUUUUGGGUUAAAGAAAAUGAGAGGACAAUUGUAUUCAUGGAAAGUUAUAGAAUAGGAAAUUCAUCCUAAUCCUGUGCAUGUGGAUGGCGUCCUACUUGCUAGUGGUCAUGUCAAUCUACUGCAGGAGGAAAAAAGAAGUUCUUGUCCUCAAAGUUCAAAAGAAUGUUCUCGGUAGAGUGUCUCUCGUUAUAAUUAUCGAGAUUCACCAAGAAAAGAAUAAAAGGGGGUAUUCGGAAUGUCGCAUGGACAUGCUAAGAAAGGUCUCUAAAGUAUGCAUGCGAGAAAACCUACGCCCGUUCUUAUAGUCAAGGGUAAUGGAACCAGAAACUAUGGUGUUCCAAAAGUUGAUGAGAAAAGAUUGAAAACGGAUAUGGUACCAUAUGCUUCAGCUGUUGGAAGUUUAAUGAAUGCAAAAGUAUGAUUUUACCCUAAUGUAGUUCACGUAUCCGGGUUGUUUUGGCAAUGUCCAGUCCAUAUAUAGACCACUAGAAUGGAGUCAAAGAUAUCGGCCUCAUGCUGAAAGAAAUAAGUUCUCUCAAAAUAUUGUGAGUACAAAGACAGGACUUGUGAAAUGUAUAGCAAAAUCGACAAUUGUCGCUAACUUUCACACUUGGAGUUUUGGUGUGGAAAUGCUCCAAAGAAUGAAACAAUUAUCAUCAAUGUGAUUCAAAUAUAUGUUAUAGCUUGAUAUGAGGCUGAGGGACAGGCAAAAUGGUUAUGAAGACCUGUACCCGGAGUUGAUAAUGGUUGAUAACAACGAUAACCAUUUUAAGCUUUUCGCUCCUAUGACAACGAGUCAAGUGUUGAUGCCAAACACACUGACAUAGAGUUAUGCGUUGUAAAGGAGAAAGUCCGGAAUUAUGUAGAAAUGCUUGAAUUAUAAAAGAAACAGAUAAGUGUUUGUAGAUCUGCUUAUUAAAGGCUUACCGCCCAGUGUGUUCGGAGGACACACAGUCGACAUGGGUUUUAUGGACAAUAAAGGGCCCAAGGUUAAAGAAUUUGUUUCAAAACAGAGAGGUACGUUGUGGCUGUCUGAUUCUAUCGGCAAUUGAGCUGUGACGAUGAAACAUGUUCUAUGUAUUGAUCUGUUAUGAAAUGAGUAAAGUAAAAGUAUAAGGUCAAAAGUAAAAGUUGAGAUCAAGGGGGAGAAUGUUAGGAUGAUCUCCACCGUGUGGGCCCAAUGGCCCACCGGGCCCUUAGAUCCGCGCCCUAAUCGGGGCGCUCAACCCACUAUGGUUGACGGCCCCCUGUCACCUGCACUAUAUAAAGAGAUGGGGGUCAGCGGCUCGCACCACGAGGUUCGUCGCAACGCGGUACACCCCACCUAAUCCCCUACCGAUCUAGGGUUAGUGCAGUGCUGAUGGGAAGCGCCGCCACCACCUUGCCCACUACUCUCUGCCAUCACCGGCCACUGUCACCAUGGCCGGCCCCGGUGGCUCCUCGAGCCACAAGGAAAAGGUAAUACUCCCAUACCACUACCAGAAUCCCCAUGCCCACUGGAUCAACAGAUCCU
rnacentral:lncRNA from 1 species